GUAGAACCUCUACCUCGCUAUAUUCACAAGUUUCAUGCCCCAGUGACCACGCCAUGCUUGGCGCGUGUUUUUGACCACGUGAACUGGUAAUCACUCAGAUAUAGAGACUUGGCGAGUAUUGACAUAUUUUCCUGGCGAUUUAUUGAGACUUUGAGAUUUCUUCUGAUUUUGCUGUUCUAUGAACGGAUCUUUCGAUUCUUCAGCAGCUCAGCAGAUGGACGACGCAGAUAUGGCUGACCUUGAUGCCCCAGCUGAGGACAUCUGGAGUGAUGAUGGAGACCCAUUUGAGGAGAGGUUUCGAUUGCUGCGUGAAGAAGUGCAGGCGCUCAGAUCUUUCGGACUAGAGCUCCAGGAGGAGCUGCG